CAACUUCCACCUGGCAUACCUCUUCAGUUAUGUCUCAAGGGUUGUAUAUCUUUGAGCGGAUUUUGGGUUUCCUGUUUUGAAUUCCAAUUCAUGGUAUUGUUUUGGAUGAUCGAAGUCCCUUUUUCAUUUUGAAUCGCCUUUGUGAUUCAAGAUGAACUAGAAAGUGAUCUCUAUAUUCCAUUAUGUUGAUGCAAAUGCGUUGAUGUUAUGGUGUGUUGAGCUUUGCUUGGUGUCCUGGAUACGGAACAUUAUGUGGGCGUGGGUCUUAAAGGCUCUUUUUUCGCUCUUGUUUUGUAUUCUUCAUAAAGACGGUUCAUGCGCGCCUAGGCUCGUACCUGCGUGAUGAACUUUGUCAAAGAGGAAUGCUACCUGGUUGAUCCUGCCAGUAGUCAUAUGCUUGUCUCAAAGAUUAAGCCAUGCAUGUGUAAGU
rnacentral:misc_RNA from 1 species